UACGGAGGGAGCUAGCGUUGUUCGGAAUUACUGGGCGUAAAGCGCGCGUAGGCGGCUUUGUAAGUUAGAGGUGAAAGCCCGGGGCUCAACCCCGGAAUUGCCUUUAAGACUGCAUCGCUUGAAUCCGGGAGAGGUGAGUGGAAUUCCGAGUGUAGAGGUGAAAUUCGUAGAUAUUCGGAAGAACACCAGUGGCGAAGGCGGCUCACUGGACCGGCAUUGACGCUGAGAUGCGAAAGCGUGGGGAGCAAACAGG
rnacentral:rRNA from 1 species